rnacentral:rRNA from 1 species
AUUGAACGCUGGCGGCAUGCCUUACACAUGCAAGUCGAACGGCAGCACGGGGCGAACCCUGUGGCGAGUGGCGAACGGGUGAGUAAUACAUCGGAACGUGCCCCGUACGCGGGGGACGAACCAGUCGAAAGACUGGCUAAUACCGCAUACGCUCCACGGAGGAAAGCAGGGGAUCGCAAGACCUUGCACUAUGGGAGCGGCCGAUGCCCGAUUAGCUAGUU